AAACACCUUGAGUUGUUUUCGCUAAAGGAACACCCGAUGCAAAAGUUAUGGGCCACCACUAACAUCAAGAUAAAAAUUAAGUUACAAUGGACUGCAUCCCGAACCAAGACAUCUAACCUUCUCGAAGGUGGUCAGCGCGAUGACGUCACGCGACACCUGCACAUAGGGUGGUGCGGACAAAUCGCAUUUUCAAUUCUAGAGGCAGUCUGGACAGUCUGGUAAUGAGCGGGUCUGUCUGUGACCUCAUCUUGAUAAAGUGUUGACAGUACAUAAUUCGUUCAUUCCUCUCACUCUCGUUUUGUACCUGGAAGUGUGAGCAGCUGAGACUCUGCUAGUACUCAGACCGAUGAUAGUACUGUUAAGAAUUACUCUGUCAGGUUCAACGAUAUACAAGUGUUGAGAUGACGGUGAAUAACUGGUUCUUUUAUCACGCUCGUCUUGCAUCAGGAGGUGUGAGUAUUUUAAGGCCCCAACCAGUGCUCAGACUGACGAAGCACUAAGUAAGAUUCCUCACAGAGUCGAGGCAAUGUACAGCUUGCUUGAGUUUUCCUUACAUGAUGUCUGAGAUUCGACAGUGACAAGACUGCGUCAUUGUGUAUUAUACAAACUUCUAACCGGGAAGAAUAAAUGGAAUCGUCGAGUUUCGGGGUUUUGAGUCACAUGCUCGGAACUGGACGCGACUCCCUCCGGCCAGCCUCGAGUCAGUCCACUCCGGAGUCUCUGGGCGGACGGACACGUGUGGUUGAGAGUGUCCUGGACUUCCACUGUGUCCACAUUUCUAGCUUCAACACAUGAACGGGCGGAGCCAGUAAUCCUACCUCCAGAAAGCUGGCUUCCUGGAUCUGUGAGUGUACUCUGAGAUUCAACGAGCACCCUCAGUGUUCAAACUUGAAUAUUGGUGAAGAUCCACCACUACAUGUCUGCACAUAUCAGGUCCACCUGCCCCUCCUGAUGACCUGAGGCAGAGCCCUGAGCCCACACACCAGGCCACUGUGUCCCCUCUGCCCCGCCUGAUGCCCCGCAGAACAAGGAAGUGGAGUCCAGGCACCAGACCAGCCUCAUGCCCUGGCCACAACAGUGCUGCUCAACAAGUUUCACAAAAUCUUUACCUGGAAUAUUUUUCCCCAUAUUCAGUGAUGCAUUCAAUGUCCUCAGUCAGAUCAUUUUCACAAAACAUUUCCAACAGCAAAAUUCUAUUUGCAUAACAAGGAAAUUUUAGGUCUUUGUUUCCAGGAUGGUGGCAGCCCAAAAGAUAAGGCAGUCUGGCAGGCAGCUGCCACACACAAAGAUUACAACCUAUCCCUUCACUAACACUCCAUGAAAGGUGACAAUACUGUGUGCUCACGAGCUAACCAACCAUCAAGG